AAUAUAUAUAGUAAUUAUAAUUAAUUAUACAAAAAUCAGAAAUCACAUUACAUCGCUACUUCCAUUGAUCGGCAACAAUGUGAGCCAAAUCCACGACCCUUUGGGAGUAACCCCACUCGUUAUCAUACCAAGCAAUCACCUUAACCAUGUCGUCUCCCAUCACCAUUGUUAGUGAUGAAUCGACUGUUGAGGACACAUCGCUGCACCUGAAGUCAACUGAAACAAGUGGCUCAUCACAGACUGAUAGGAUACCCUUGAGCUCCUUCUCAGCACUCUCUCUAAAACCUUCAUUCACCUCUUCAGCAAA
rnacentral:lncRNA from 1 species